rnacentral:lncRNA from 1 species
GCGAACGCGCGGCGCCCGGGCCGCUGCCCCCUUCCGGCCCCGCGGCGGCCCCGCCUCCUCCCCCGACUUCCUUCCCUGAGCACGGCGGCGGCGGGGACGAGCACCGGCCUGCGCGCGGAGCCGGCACCGGAUGGCACUGCCGCCCUGCACUGUAGCAGAUGCCUAAAUAAAGUGUGGAGCCUGAAGCAGAAGUUUUGGGAGAUGCUUGCCUUCCUUUAGACCACAUUCCUCGCCUUUCUCAAGAUUUCUCCGUGACCCAACAUGAGUGAAGUUUCCUGCAAGAAACGGGACGACUAUUUGGAAUGGCCAGAGUAUUUUAUGGCUGUGGCCUU